rnacentral:rRNA from 1 species
UCCGCUGAGGAUGGCUUUUCCUUGGUAUAACUAGCCGAGGGAAUAAGGAGAGGGCAAGACUGGUGUCAGCCGCCGCGGUAAUACCAGCUCUCCGAGUGGUAGGGAUGAUUAUUGGGCUUAAAGCGUCCGUAGCCGGCUUAGCAAGUCUCCUGCUAAACUCAGCGACUCAAUCGUUGAUCCGCGGGAGAUACUACUAGGCUAGGAGGCGGGAGAGGUCGACGGUACUUCUGGGGUAGGGGUGAAAUCCUAUAAUCCCGGGAGGACCACCAGUGGCGAAGGCUGUCGA